GACGAACGCUGGCGGCGUGCUUAACACAUGCAAGUCGAACGGAAAGGCCCUGCUUUUGUGGGGUGCUCGAGUGGCGAACGGGUGAGUAACACGUGAGUAGCCUGCCCUUGACUUUGGGAUAACUUCAGGAAACUGGGGCUAAUACCGGAUAGGAGCUCCUGCUGCAUGGUGGGGGUUGGAAAGUUUCGGCGGUUGGGGAUGGACUCGCGGCUUAUCAGCUUGUUGGUGGGGUAGUGGCUUACCAAGGCUUUGACGGGUAGCCGGCCUGAGAGGGUGACCGGCCACAUUGGGACUGAGAUACGGCCCAGACUCCUACGGGAGGCAGCAGUGGGGAAUAUUGCACAAUGGGCGGAAGCCUGAUGCAGCAACGCCGCGUGCGGGAUGACGGCCUUCGGGUUGUAAACCGCUUUCGCCUGUGACGAAGCGUGAGUGACGGUAAUGGGUAAAGAAGCACCGGCUAACUACGUGCCAGCAGCCGCGGUGAUACGUAGGGUGCGAGCGUUGUCCGGAUUUAUUGGGCGUAAGGGCUCGUAGGUGGUUGAUCGCGUCGGAAGUGUAAUCUUGGGGCUUAACCCUGAGCGUGCUUUCGAUACGGGUUGACUUGAGGAAGGUAGGGGAGAAUGGAAUUCCUGGUGGAGCGGUGGAAUGCGCAGAUAUCAGGAGGAACACCAGUGGCGAAGGCGGUUCUCUGGGCCUUUCCUGACGCUGAGGAGCGAAAGCGUGGGGAGCGAACAGGCUUAGAUACCCUGGUAGUCCACGCUGUAAACGGUGGGUACUAGGUGUGGGGUCCAUUCCACGGGUUCCGUGCCGUAGCUAACGCUUUAAGUACCCCGCCUGGGGAGUACGGCCGCAAGGCUAAAACUCAAAGGAAUUGACGGGGCCCCGCACAAGCGGCGGAGCAUGCGGAUUAAUUCGAUGCAACGCGUAGAACCUUACCUGGGUUUGACAUGGAUCGGGAGUGCUCAGAGAUGGGUGUGCCUCUUUUGGGGUCGGUUCACAGGUGGUGCAUGGCUGUCGUCAGCUCGUGUCGUGAGAUGUUGGGUUAAGUCCCGCAACGAGCGCAACCCUUGUUCACUGUUGCCAGCACGUUAUGGUGGGGACUCAGUGGAGACCGCCGGGGUCAACUCGGAGGAAGGUGGGGAUGACGUCAAGUCAUCAUGCCCCUUAUGUCCAGGGCUUCACGCAUGCUACAAUGGCUGGUACAGAGAGUGGCGAGCCUGUGAGGGUGAGCGAAUCUCGGAAAGCCGGUCUCAGUUCGGAUUGGGGUCUGCAACUCGACCUCAUGAAGUCGGAGUCGCUAGUAAUCGCAGAUCAGCAACGCUGCGGUGAAUACGUUCCCGGGGCU
rnacentral:rRNA from 1 species